UUGGGUCAUAAAUCUGAUGGGGAAACAAUUGAGUGGUUGUUACGGCAAGCAGAACCUGCGAUUAUAGCAGCCACCGGGACUGGGACUAUACCAGCGAAUUUUUCUACUCUCAAUGUUUCUUUAAGGAGCAGUGGAUCAACCCUUUCGGCUCCUCCUUCGAAAUCUGCUCCUCAUUCGUUUCAUGGAGCCUUGGCUUUGGCUCAUCAUCCUCAUUAUGAGGAAGGGUUCGCCCAUACGGCUUUGUUGGGGUUUCAUCAUCAGCAGCAGCAGCAGCACCUGAUGACAGCAGAUCAAAUCGCGGAAGCGCUGCCAAGUGGUGGAGGUGGAGGAGGAGGGGGAAGUGGUGGUGGUGCUGGGGGAGAUUCUGGUGAGAAUUAUAUGAGAAAACGUUUUAGAGAAGAUCUGUUCAAGGACGAUAGCCAACAACAGCAAGGAGAAAGUGGUGGUGGUACUAGCGGAGGUGGUGGUGGAGGAACAGGAGGAGAAGGAUCUCCCGGUAAGGUAUUUAAAAGUGGUUUGCAGCUACCAAAACCUCAGCAACAAGACACAGGAUCAUCUGGAUUACUUAGGCCUUCAAACAUUCUACCUCCCACUGCCAUGUGGGCAAUGGCACCAGCACCAAGCAGUGGCAGCACAAUCUGGAUGCUUCCAGUGACUGCUGGUGGUGCCGGUGGCGGUCCAGCCAUUGCCACCGCCACAACUAGGGCUGGACCUUCAGAACCCCAACCCCAGAUGUGGCCUUUUUCUUCAGCAACACCAGCAAGCGGAAACUCCAUACAAGCUCCAUUGCAUUUUGUGCCGAGAUUCAAUCUUCCAGGUAAUCUUGAAUUUCAAGGUGGAAGAGGAAAUGCUUUACAAUUGGGUUCCAUGUUAAUGCAGCAACAACAACCUUCACAACAUCUUGGGUUAGGCAUGGCAGAGUCAAAUUUGGGGAUGUUAGCUGCUCUUAAUGCAUAUUCUAGAGGUGGUUUGAAUAUAAAUUCCGAGCAAAAUAAUCCAUUGAAUCAACAUCAUCAACACCAGCAACCUCAAGAUACUAAUAGUGGAGAUGAAGAUCCCAAUAGUUCUCAAUGACAAGCUUAAUAAGUGGGUUUGUUGCUCUCAUUUUAAAUACAUAAAUAUGACAGCUUGAUGGCUAUGGUUUUUUUUUUUCACAUUUUAUUGCAUAGGAAGCAGCAGGAGCUAGAGAUUGUUGUUGGGUUUGCUUUCACAGAUUUGGGAAUUGAAUUUGUGUCAAGUUCUUGGAAAUUCCAUGGAUGAUGGAGGCUGAGAUUGAUCAGUGUCCUAGCAAUUUCCAUUUUGGUUUUGGUUUGUUAGUUUUUGAAUUCUUCUAGAUUGAUCAUGUGGAGUAGUUUGAGAUGUAAUUUGUUAGUUUG
rnacentral:misc_RNA from 1 species